rnacentral:rRNA from 1 species
GACAGAGGGUGCAAACGUUGUUCGGAAUUACUGGGCGUAAAGCGCGUGUAGGCGGCUAUGCAAGUCGGAUGUGAAAGCCCUCGGCUCAACCGGGGAAGUGCACCCGAAACUGCAAAGCUAGAGUCUCGGAGAGGAUCGUGGAAUUCUCGGUGUAGAGGUGAAAUUCGUAGAUAUCGAGAGGAACACCGGUGGCGAAGGCGGCCUUCUGGACAGUAACUGACGCUGAGACGCGAAAGCGUGGGGAGCAAACAGG